GAGAGAAAGAAGUGGAGUAUUUUUUUAAGGGGCUCUUGUGGCUGGGGAAGUUCCAGUCAGUCCAAAUUAGAUGAGUUUCUAGGUGUCUGCCUGGGUAUCCACCAGGAAAAUGCUGUUUCUGCCUUUAGACCCUUCCCUUCCAUCCAUCUCUGCACUCCUGGUGGUCUGUCCUCACCCACUCUCUGUGAUUUUCCUUCUCCCAGGCCUCCUCUUCCCAAGAUUCCUGAUCCUUUCUCUGCACUACUUUGCUCACCACUCCCUCCCUGCCACCCCCAGGAGGGAAACUCCUCUGCUCUGAAAGCAGGAACUGGCACUGGAGGCAAGCAGCACUGAGCAACCCAAGGGAUGUGGGAGAGGGCCAGCUGGAGGCUGCCAUGGCAACAGCUGGAUCUCCUUCAUCCCUCUCACCCUGCUUCCCUGCUGAUUACACUGAAACAACAGAAAAAAUAACAGUUGCUGGGAAUCAAAGAACCCUCUUCCUCCACGAAAUCACCUGGCCUCUUUCCACGCUUCCCAAAGCAAAUCUCUGGCAUCCUUGCUGCUGGUACAACAAUCUUGUGACUCUUCCUUGUACAUGGCAAGCAAAAAAGGGUUUGGUUUGCUUGCCCUUGAUGGGAAGACCUUUCUGUGCGCUUCUCCUGUGAUCUUUGAGCUCAGUGACAGAGCUGGGGCCAAAAAAAUAUCUCUGGAGGUGACUAUGACUCUUUGGGGGCUGUUCCAUGAGAAGAAUCCCCUGGGAGGAUCCAGGGUUUGGACCCAGAAGAGGUUUUGGUGGUGCUGCUUCUCCUGUGACAGCUCAGAGGAGAAGCAAGCCCAGCUCUUUGUCACAGGUCAUCAAUUCUCAGAACCUUACCUGUGCCCACAGACAUGUUCAAAUCUACCUGGUAUCACCCAGCACAGGUUUAUAUGUUUUGAUAAACUCAAGGGUUUGGUGACCAUUCUUUGUGACUCAUGUGGAGUGGCUGCCCCCAGCCUGCUUUCUGCAACUCCUUCCUCUGGAUUUUUUGCUCUUAAAAUGGGAAAGAUCAUAAUUUUCCAUGUAUGGCUGUUCCUGACAUGAGUCCUACAGGAUCAUCGUGGCAAAGGACACCUGAUCUCCAUCCAUUCCAGCAAGGAGAAGCUGUGCAGGCUACAGACUUGAUGCUGGGAGAUGGGAACCUUGUUAAUUAAAAUGUCAGUGACUCAAAUCCCCUUAAGGUGAGAGAGAGCUGCAUUUUUUAUUACCAUUGCUGUUAAUGAUACAGUUGGCUGGUACCUUGUAGAGGCAUAAUGCAUUUCACUUACCUUGACAAGGUCUGCCCACUCUGCCUGC
rnacentral:lncRNA from 1 species